AACAGAUACAAUCAGCAACAGAAGUUCACAAGUUAUUGGUUACAUAUUUAUGCUCACUGGCAUGUAGGUUAUAAUUACACGCACUAAUAAUGCUAUCCAAGUGGAAUCUGCAAUUGAAAUGUUUCCAAAAUAGACCUAAAAAUCUUAAAUAAAAUAUUAGCAAAUGAAAUAUGGAAGAAUAUUAAAGGAAUGAAAGCCCAUGGUCAUAGAAUGGUUUCUUUUUUUUUUUUUCCGAGACAGAGUCUCACUCUGUCACCCUGGCUGGAGUGCAAUGGCACGAUCUCGGCUCACUGCAACCUCUGC
rnacentral:lncRNA from 1 species